rnacentral:rRNA from 1 species
CCUACGGGAGGCAGCAGUGGGGAAUAUUGGACAAUGGGGGGAACCCUGAUCCAGCGACGCCGCGUGAGUGAAGAAGUCUUUCGGUAUGUAAAGCUCUAUCAGCAGGGAAGAAAGAAAUGACGGUACCUGACUAAUAAGCCCCGGCUAACUACGUGCCAGCAGCCGCGGUAAUACGUAGGGGGCAAGCGUUCUCCGGAUUUACUGGGUGUAAAGGGAGCGUAGACGGCGAUGCAAGUCUGAAGUGAAAGGCGGGGGCCCAACCCCCGGACUGCUUUGGAAACUGUAUGGCUGGAGUGCAGGGGAGGUAAGUGGAAUUCCUAGGGUAGCGGUGAAAUGCGUAGAUAUUAGGAAGAACACCAGUGGCGAAGGCGGCUUACUGGACUGUAACUGACGUUGAGGCUCGAAAGCGUGGGGAGCAAACAGGAUUAGAUACCCGGGUAGUC